UGCAGCAGCAAGUUGGACUAUUUGACACCAGUACAUACCCACCAGUAUCGAUGAAAGUGUACAAUAGAACAGGGCGUACUGACGUGUAUAAUAUGAUGCUCCGAUAUAAUCAACCGGAUACUUUCAACUGUAGCGUCUUCGUCGUCAGUGAACAGAAUACAAAAAAUAGUGAUUCGACGAGGUGCGCCAUGUACAUCAAGGGGAAACUUCCUAAAGGUGUGAAUCCCCCCCUGCACUGCCAAAUUUCAUUCAAUACUUGCAGUAACUGGCGGAAAGUAUAUAAGCCAUACAAGUGGACUUGUAAAGAACAUAUGCAAUAAAGUGGCAACAAAUAAUAAUCGGAAUAUAGUAAUAAAGGUGGCAAACACAAUGUCUUAUGUGAUAAAGAAACAGUUGACCAAUAUGCUAAAUAAAAUGCUUUUUUCUUAAAUGA